AAAUUGAAGAGUUUGAUCAUGGCUCAGAUUGAACGCUGGCGGCAGGCCUAACACAUGCAAGUCGAACGGUAACAGGAAGAAGCUUGCUUCUUUGCUGACGAGUGGCGGACGGGUGAGUAAUGUCUGGGAAACUGCCUGAUGGAGGGGGAUAACUACUGGAAACGGUAGCUAAUACCGCAUAACGUCGCAAGACCAAAGAGGGGGACCUUCGGGCCUCUUGCCAUCGGAUGUGCCCAGAUGGGAUUAGCUAGUAGGUGGGGUAACGGCUCACCUAGGCGACGAUCCCUAGCUGGUCUGAGAGGAUGACCAGCCACACUGGAACUGAGACACGGUCCAGACUCCUACGGGA
rnacentral:rRNA from 1 species